CCAUUGUUAAAAGCGCUUUCUAUAGACAUAAAUUAAAUUGAACUUUUAACCAUAGUAUGUUUUUGUUUGGAAAAUUGGUUGGAGAAGGCUGGAUCUUCUCUUACAAAAUACCUGACAAUUUUUUUUUAAUAAUAAUUACAAAUAAGAUAUUCUUGAAUAUUCACCAGGAGUUUCUAGAAAACUAUACGGUAGAUUGAUGUCCCUCCAUUGAUGGGCUGUGACCCAGUACAGUUUGGUGAUUUUCCUCUCUUAAAGCACUCGAUUCACCAGUUAUGAAUCAGCUUUAGUAGGUGUGCCCUCAGGGACUGUUGUUUUUCCACCCCUUGUCUAUACAGACUCCAUAAAAAGCAAUAUGGCAGCCAUAAAAUACUGACCUUAAAGUGAAAAAUUGAGUUUGUGUGCAGGUCAGAAAGCUGCUGAGAGCUGCACAAGGUAACUACGACUCUGAGGCGUCAAACCGCAAGAGAACGGCUUUGAUGGAAUCAUCACAAUAAAACAUCUGGAGCGCACGUGCGAGUCCGCCUCAGCGUUUCGAAAUCCACGACGACGGCCCACAAAAGCGACCUCCGCACCUGCCGUCUUCUCUACAGGAACCCCCUCAGAUCAUCAAGCCGUACCCUGAAGUAUGAGAGGAGAUGAGCUUCGGUGAUGAAAUCUGGCUCUGAUGUGAUUGAUUUUAGAUCAGCAGCCUUCACAUCAGUGCGACUCGAGAGAAAUCUUGGCUCUGGACUACAAACACAAAUAAAUCUGCAGUCGGGAGAAGAUUUAAUUAUCUCUAAUAUCGAAGAUCUUUCAUUAUUGACGCUGAGUCUGCUGAAGAUCCUUGAUGCUUUGAAGAGGAGGAGAACAUGGGAAUUAACCUGGAAGGAAUUAACUCAUGUGUGAAGCUGAAAGUAAUAAGUACACCGUGGAGCUCAGCAGCUACGGAGCUGCGAUAAUAAGGAAUGGUUUUGAAGGAUGGAAAAAUGUCACCUGAUCUUUCUACCUAUAGACUGUUGUGUGUGUGUGUGUGUGUCUGUGUGUGUGUGUGUGAACAUCUCACAGUUAGUACUUACUGAAGUCUACCAACAAACAUCACGUUAUUUCUACAUUCUGAUGUGAACAUUACCUGAAACUCUUCAUCUCUGUCUGCAUUAUUAUAUACAUUGUGCUCAGGUAUACAUGUGUUCUUGAUUUCUUCAUUAUUUCUUACUUGCUAUGUUUCUAUUCAUUCAUUCAUUCAUUCAUUAUCUACCGCUUAUCUGGACUUCUCGGGUCCCGGGGAGCCUGUGCCUAUCUCAGGCGUCAUCGGGCAUCGAGGCAGGAUACACCCUGGACGGAGUG